rnacentral:lncRNA from 1 species
AUGAAAAAUUGCAGCCCUGUGGACAUUGAAUAUCAGUCCUGCCAUGGAUGGGCUUCUUCCUAUUAUCUAUUAUUUUUUUUUUUCAAAAGCCUGUUUAGAAGAUACAAAUUAGUGCACGAGGGCAUACAAAAUGUUCGAACCAGACCAGAGGUAUUUUUUGAAGCCACUCUGAAGAAAUUCAACCACACAACACCCGUAAUCGAUGCCGUUUUUGAACUAAGGGACCCCGCUGCCAACAACUGGAAAACGUGGGUGGAGGGGUUUGAGAGGCUCGGGCUGGACCACACCUACACAAAAAGUGCCAUCAGCUUGUCAUCCACGUUUUGUGAAUUCGUCACUGGGAAGUUCAUAAUUAAUCGAGGCUGGCGAGAUUUCGGAAACAUGCCCAGUUCAUGCCCCAUAAAGAAGGGGAAAUACUCGAUGCAAAACUACGUUAUUGAGGAUAAGUAUUUGCCACCUUUCGUGCCGGGAAUUCAUUGGCGGCUGGACUUCAUUUCUGGGCCGGAUGGAACGAGACAGAACAAUGAAACUACAAUCAUGUCUUAUUACACGAAAGUAGUUUAUUAUUAAAUCGAAUAUAAGUACCUAGAUAGAUUUGUUACUUUCUUAUGUCACUCCUUUACAGGGAAGCGGUGGGUGCAUUCGUACCUAAAUGCUCGAAGGUCUUCGAAAAAUUGUUCUUCUUCUCCUCGUAAAAUCAAAAGACCAGUUCACAUUUAAUAUCACCGUCAUCUUUAUUCCGCCGCGAGGAUUAUUUGGACUACACUUUGCAAGUAGGAACUAUAAAUGCCGGGCCGGUUUAAAAACAACGUAUGUGCCAUUAGUUUCCCUAUGCACGUAAGUGUUUAUUCAGAUGAGCCAGAAUUUAU